AUAAGCUGUAUCUUUUGUGUUGUCUUCUGCAAUUACUCUCUAGCCUUUUGGUAUGGCGCAAAGUUAAUCAUCAGCAAAGGAUAUACUAGAGAGCAGGUCAUCAAUGAUGUAUUCGCAAUUCUUACUAGAUCAAUGGCUAUAGGUAAUGCAUCACCCUCGAUUUCUGCUAUUGCAGAAGGUCAAUCUGCAGCACACAGGUUGUUUGAAAUAAUCAACAGAAAACCAAAGAUUGACAUCAGCGACACUUUUGGAAUAGUAUUAGAUGAUAUCAAGGGUGACGUCGAACUCAACAAUGUGUUCUUUUGAUACCCAACAAGGCGAGAGCAGUUGAUACUUAAUGGGUUGUCUCUACAAGUGCCUAGUGGUACUACCAUGGCUAUAGUUGGAGAGAGUGGAAGUGGAUCAACAUUGAUUAGUCUGGUGGAGAGAUUCUACAACCCGCAGGCUGGUGAAGUACUGGUAGAUGGAAUCAACAUCAAGAGUUUGAAACUCCAGUGGAUAAGAGGGAAGAUCAAUCUUGUUAGCCAGGAACCAUUGCUUUUUAUGACCUCCAUCAAAGAUAACAUAACCUAUGGUAAAGAGGAUGCUAUGCUUGAGGAGAUCAAGAGAGCAGCUGUGCCGGCAAAUGCAGCAAACUUCAUGGAAAAGCUGCCUAAUGAAUAUGAGACAAUGGUUGGUCAGAGUGGUGCUCAGCUCUCUGGAGGGCAGAAGCAAAGGAUUGCCAUUGAAAGAGCAAUCCUUAAAAGUCCAAAAGUCAUGUUGGAUGAAGCUACUAGCGCUUUGGAUGUGGAGUCCGAGCGAGUAGUUCAAGAAGCACUAAAUAGGAUCAUGGUAGGGAUAACGAUACUCAUUGUUGCUCACCGUCUGAGUACAGUCCGGAAUGCAGAUUGCAUAGCAGUGGCUCAUCAAGGAAAGGUAGUUGAACAUGUGCGAAUGCGGUAA
rnacentral:rRNA from 1 species